CACUGUUUGUCCAGAUGGUCCAAUCCCAUCCUGAAGUCUGACUUUGACCAUGAACUGGAUUCAUUCUUGCCCAAUGCAUCGAGACACCCGCAUUCUGACCAGCUUUUAAAAUGUAGUUUGUUUGCCACGGUAUCACUUUCAGCAUUCAGACCCAAAGAGGCCAGAACCUCACAGAACCCCUUUUACGCUCUUGACUGAUUGCAAAAGUUACGUACAAACCGGAGCCGCACAUGAAUGUUUCUGCAUCCAGGAGAUUUUCUGGAUUUACUCAAAUGAGUGCUUGUGCACAGUUUUUUUUUUUUUUUUUUUUUUUUUUUUUUUUUUUUUUUUGUAUGUGUAAUUAUGGAAAACAUGAAUCAUUUUGUAUGAAUGUGUGAAUUGUUGACCUCUUACUACUAAUGGUAAUGUCCGCUUGUUUUGUGAACUUGAAGAUAAAAUGUCAAAUUUUAUAUAAAUAAAUGAAAUUGAAUAUUUUUUUUUUCUUCUGUAUCUUAAAAAAGAUAAGAAAAGCAUAAUCUGGUUUUAACAGUGAGUCUCUUAAUGUUAACUGAACAAUAAAACAUUAAUGUAAUGUAAGCUAGACACAAUACUACACACAAGUUGUAAAUACAAAUGUUUAAAUGCACAUUAAAAUGUUACAAUAAUUCACUUCAUAUGAACUUAAUGCAUAUAUAAAUGUAUACUAUGCACAUUUUGAAAGUCUUAAAUGUUCAUUACAGGUUCUUAAACUUAAUGGCUAAUUUAACACUGUUAUUAAAUGAAUGCUUUUAAAUGUGUAAGGGUAAGGAAUGCACAUAAUGAAAAGCUUUUAUUUGUUGUAAAAGAUUCUGAAUUUCUACACUUACUAUGGACGUGCUGCUUUUUAUAUUUGUUGAUCAGUUAUAAUUUUAGGCACCUCCCAGUCCUAUCUUCCCACGCGUUGAAAUAUAAAGGCACCAAACAGAUUGACAUUUUUUUUUUACUGCAGCGCUCAGCAUCUGCAUCUGCCUUUAAUCAUGACACCAUCUACCUCAACAAGAAACACUUUUAUUUUGCUGUUUUAUCUGAGUUUUACAAUUCUACACGUCAAGGUUAUUGGUUAUAACGGAUGUUACCUGGAAUCCAGACAGGGAAUCUCGAGAUGUGAACGCUGCACUGAAGAAUGUUCUGAGAAAAAAAAUGAGAUGGAAGUUACUCCAUGCACUCAGGACAGCAAUAGAUCAUGCUUCUGUAAACCAGGUUUUUACUGUACAAGAGGAAACAAUUAUGUCACACACUGCCAUAAACCAUGUGUUCCCUGUGGGAAGGGCACAUUCUCCAGCAAACCCUCUCUGGAUGCCUGCAAGCUUCAUACAAAUUGUGCUCAGUUGGGGUUGUUAAUGCGCAAAAAGGGCACAGCGACACAGGACACAGAGUGUGUGACUAUCACCACAGUGAUGUCAUCCUUGUCCACUUUGUCCACUACCACCAAUACCAUUACUACAUUCCCUAUCACUAACACUUCCAUCUCCGGGACAGGGGUCACUGCACCACGCAUAGACACUUCAGAGGAAAGCCAGUACCAUUGGCUGCUGCUAUUGAUCUUAAUGUUGAUAAUAUUGUUCAUGGCUGGAUCCUGUAUGCUGAUGAAAAAUGUGGCAAAGAAAACCUUUUUAAAAUGGCCUGGUUUAAUAAACGGAGGACAUGAAGAUCAUCAACACCGGAGUCAAACUGCAGGUGACCAUCAAAUUUCGUCCAAUACCCAACCCCACACCUUGGAGACUGAGAUACCUCUCGCUAGUAGCAGCAGAGAGGUCAAAGGUCAGAGCACGGGGCUGAUGCCCCAACCUGGGGCUGUGCAGCAGGUCACUAUGGAGCACAAUGGGAAGGGUGAGAACGUCAACAAUACUGUUGGUGAGUCCUGUAAACGUCUUUAUGUCGAAUUUGCAUUGUAUUGCAUUUGAAUUUGAAGAUUUAAAGGAACAAAAAUUCUGUCUUAAUUAAACACGAAAAAGAUGUCAAAAAGCAUCCCAAAAAUGGGCCUGUACAACUUUUGUACUAUAUUUUAAGUUUUCUUGAACCAUAAAGAAGCUUUUUGUGAGUUGACUACCCUUCUACUAGAGCUCUUGAAUUGAAUUUUAGUUUCUCACUCAGAUCUGUUGUAUGACUUCUGGAUUAUAGUUCAUAAAUCAUAUGGUCACUGCAGAAAGUGUUACUUCUCUUCAGUAUUAUGUCUUGUUUUCCAGCACAGCACAUUCUUAAACUAAGGUACAUUUACUUGACUUGAGAUUUAAUUUGAAAAAUGAAGUGUGUACAUACUUAAAACAGAAAAAAUAUCUGCCAAUGGGAUAAGAAAAAUAAACAAUAUGAAUCAAGUUUAUAUUUAUGGGCC
ensembl:lncRNA